UACGUAGGUGGCGAGCGUUGUCCGGAUUUACUGGGCGUAAAGGGCGCGUAGGCGGCCACCGCAAGUCAGUUGUGAAAUCUCUGGGCUUAACCCAGAACGGUCAGCUGAUACUGCGGGGCUAGAGUGCAGAAGGGGCAACUGGAAUUCUCGGUGUAGCGGUGAAAUGCGUAGAUAUCGAGAGGAACACCGGCGGCGAAGGCGGGUUGCUGGGCUGACACUGACGCUGACAGCGCGAAAGCUAGGGGAGCGAACGGG
rnacentral:rRNA from 1 species